AGCGCGACGGUGACAUUGCGGUGUGUGGCCUCUAGGACAAGAAGACUGGGCUUACGUUGGAUGUAAGUUAUUGUCGUCCGGCAAGAUUUUGAAAAGUGAUGUGAUAGCCACUGAACCUUGAAGCAAUUGAAGACCAGAAAGCCUUAGUGCGAUCGGCUGGAUUCAGAUGGCCUAUAUGUAUACCAUUGGAAGAGUUAAUGAAGAACCUCCUCCGGAAAGUUUACUGCAACAAAGAUUGCUUCCCGAGAGCGACACUCGUUAAGGAUGUGAGUAUUUGAAGUUCCGCUUUCAAGCAUUGGACGGCCUGCAAAUUACCAUUGCAGCCAAAUUGUAUGCAUUUUCUAGAUGAUCUUAAAUACGGAGCGGUAUUCUGAAGAUGUAGUUGUGCAUAGUGUGUAGUUCGUGGAUUGCGAAACAACGGAGCGAGAAUGCAGUUGGCGUUCCGUUUUGGGUCAGUUAUGUUUUCCUUUUUCCAUGUUUUAAAGUCGCUGUGCUUUAUGCUCAGGAUCGAAGCAAAAUGUACAAUAGUAGGCUGCGAUGUGAUGCGUGUUGUAUAAAACCAAUAAACCAAAA
rnacentral:lncRNA from 1 species